rnacentral:rRNA from 1 species
UUCGCAAUGCCCGAAAGGGUGACGAAGCGACGCCGCGUGGGUGAAGAAGGCCUUCGGGUUGUAAAGCCCUGUCAGGAGUUAUGAAAUGUAAGUGCGCUAAUAUCGUGCUUAUUUGACAAAGGCUCCAAAGGAAGCCACGGCUAACUCUGUGCCAGCAGCCGCGGUAAUACAGAGGUGGCGAGCGUUGUUCGGAAUUAUUGGGCGUAAAGAGCACGUAGGUGGGUUUGCAAGUCAGAUGUGAAAGCCUUCUGUUCAACGGAAGAAUUGCAUCUGAAACUGCUAAUCUUGAGUAUAGGAGGGGAGAAUGGAACUUCUGGUGGAGCGGUGAAAUGCGUAGAUAUCAGAAGGAACGCCGGCGGCGAAAGCGAUUCUCUGGCCUAUUACUGACACUCAGUGUGCGAAAGCUAGGGGAGCAAAUGGGAUUAGAUACCCCGGUAGUCCUAGCUGUAAACGAUGGGCACUAAGUAGA